UAUCAUAAUAUUUUGUCAAUCGUUCAAAAUCAAACCAUCACUGAUCACUCAUCAGCUGAAGUUGUGAAACAUUUUAAAAUUCAAAUUCAACCACCAAGACCGCUGGUAGAUAAGACUACUUGUUAACAAUUGCUGGGCAAAACUAAAUUUCAAAAGACUACUCGCCUGAAGCCUAUAGCGCUGUCCUUACACAUAAAUACAAUUGAUCAUUGAUUAUUUAUUAUUCUCAACACUCAAACUGAAUACUUAAGCUAUUAUAAACUAUGAAAAUUGAAACUAAUGUUAAGGUUGCUACCCCUGUGAUAUGAUGCAAAAAUAAGUGAAUUAAAACACAUCAAAUAUGACAAAUAAAUCUUGAUGACUUACAAUGUAUUAUAAUCGUCAACCAACAUCACAAAUUCUAGCCUACAGUGCUAUAUUAAUUAUAACUUAUAAGUCAUAGUAGUAAUAAUUAGUAAUAUUUUAUCAUUAAUUGAUUUUGUAUUUAAUUUUGAUUAACAUCUUAAUAUUACUCGCUAUUUAGUUAACCUUUGGUGACGCGCGCAGGGUAAAAAUUUACCCCAGUCACAUAAUAUAGUUCUGUGAAUAACGUGAAAAGUUUACCUAAGUCACACUUUAUUGAAGUGUGCAUGGAAAACGCCCGCGUGACAGAAGGUUAAUAUUAAUAAAAUAUAUUUGCAUGAUUUAAGUUAAUUCUUUUAAUAUAAUAUUUAAAAUAGUAGUCUCAUGUCCAAAAUAUUUAGUUACCAAAUUUAAUUUAUAUGCUGUACAUUAAUAUGGUAUGAUAUUUAAAUUUUAUCGUAAAAAUUUGUAUUCUU